CAUAACAGACCAGCAUUCGCCUUGCUGACCCGGGGCUGCUGAUCGUGCGACUUUGGCCCUAGCACUUGAUGCGCAACCGCACCGCAACAGCGCAGCAGCAGAAACUCCCGUCCAAUGCCAAGACGGACCACUGCAUCCCCAGCAAAGAAGCGAGGGCGAAGGAAAAGACCCAAAUGCUGGCUUAUUGCCGGUGGUUCGCAGCUCGAGUUGAGAAGGAGACUUGUUCUGUGCUUUCUUAUCCCUAAGCAGCCAUGCUUUCCACAGCUAUCCACAAUGGCGUAACCAAACAGGUUACAAAACCCAAGUUGAAGUCCCAUUCCGAACACCUCAUGAAGCGCGUCUCGAGAGCGUGUUUGCACUGUCGCCAGCGCAAAUCUAGAUGCGACUUGGACAGCAGUGGAAGUCCGGGCACUCCGCCUUGCCAGCGUUGUCUACGAGACCAUCGUGAAUGCGUCCUAGGUAGCUCAAACAGAGGGGGUCGCCGUAUCCGCAAGCCGAAAACUGCCAAUCUUGAGAUGCAUUCCAAUUCCUCACCGGCCAGAGUGAUGCAGCUUGCUCCGAGUGGUGCCCCUGGCCCGACGGACCCACAUUCGUUCCCGCGGCCAUAUCCAUCAGAUCACUAUGGGAGAUCGGAUCCACCCACUGCAUCUACGAUCAAUAUAGAGGACGACGAUUCAGCUUCAACUACUGACAGCGCAAUCGGAUCCGUUCCACGGAACCCGUCUGACGCAUGGCAAUGUUUGACAAACGUUGCCAAGCGAGGCGCAGAAAGCGCAAAUCUCGAGAAAACGGGAGAUCAUUAUUCCGAAUCAAAAAGCCGUGUUCGACUUCCUGGGGUUGAAGACGAGGAGUCUGAACCAGGAAUCAAGGCAUAUCGUCUUAUCAAGAAUAGGUCGCUCACCCGUGAAACCGUUUCCCAGCUGGUGACGCGUUACGCCGACAAUUUCCAUCCUUAUCUCCCCCUGGUCCCACGAAAGUAUUUUGAUCCAUCUGCCCUGGAAUCAUUUGCGUCCCAGGAGAAGCAUCUUCUGACUGCGGUCCUCACCAUUGCCUCAAAGGACCUUGUGGAAACGCCUCAGGUUCAUGAGGUUUGUUCCAAGUAUAUGCACGAGCUCAUCUCUGGCAUCGCUGCUGGUGCAGAUUGCGAUGUCGAAGCGGUCGAGGCACUGCUCAUCCUUGCUGAAUGGGAGCCCCAGGGCCUACGGCCAAAGAUUGAAGCUGUAGGGCGAGGAGAGGAAGACAGAGCGGCAUGGAUGCACGUUGGGCUGGCUCUCCGCUCUGGAUAUUUCCUUGGACUUGAUCGUACUUCUUUUAGAGGCGAUCCAGCAAACGACACCCAAAACGACGGGCGGAAGCGAUUGGCAUGGACCAGCUGCUAUAUUUCAGAUGGCCCUGGCCCUAUGACUGGGCUUGUCUCUAAAGACUUUCCGUCUCUACAGCCUCUCACCUCAACGGAUGAAGAUUAUGCGAAGAUUUUCCAGGCACUCUUGGAUCUCACACAACUGUACGGAAACGUCCAUGAUGUCCUCUACUCGGGAAUGCGCACGAGCAGUCAGAUGAUGUUAAUGGGGGACUAUGUGAAAUACGUUGAUGACUUUCGCAAUGCCAUUGAGCGCUGGAAUCGAAAUUGGGGUACAUUGACUUGCUCUCAACACAUCAAAGUAACUCUGCAGAUGUCUUACGAAUAUCUGAGGCUGUACACAAACGCGUUUGCCUUCCAAGCGGCGAUUUCUCAAGCACUCACCUCCAAACCCAAGGGAGAUGCUCCUAGCCAACGAGAGCACCUACGGGCAGCAUUUAGCAAUGUUGCAUCCAUGCAGGACGCCCGUUUUAUAUACGCAUCAGUUGAUGCGGCGAAGUCCUAUCUCACAAUCUUGAAUAACUACGUUGAUCCCGAGAAACAUUUACAUUUCAUGCCCUUACGAUAUUAUCUGUAUAGCAUUUAUGCGGCAGUAUUUUUAUACAAGGCCCGCUCAUUUGGAGUAAUGAAUGCUCCAGAGGAGCAAGCCGUUCGGCAUCUGAUAAACCUUACCACAGACAGACUCCACAGAGCGAGUGCUGGUCCCGACGACAUCGGCUCCCGAUAUGCUCGAUUGCUCGAACUUCUGUGGAAACCCAAGGCAUCGUCAUCGUCAUCGAAUACUCAAGAGCAUCAGCGCAAGGAUGAAAGUGUCCCGACAGGAACAGUCCCAAAUAGGCUGCCAGAACAGCCCUAUAUGCAGUAUUCACCAAUGAACGAUUUCUCAUGGUUGGAUCUCGAGGCUGUAGGUGACUAUGUCUCUGGAUAUCCCAUGGGGAAUCCCACCUUCAUGGGCAUGAAUUCGUUUCCGCAUCAUAAUCCAUAUCCGGUAACCUCAGAGGCGAUUUGGCCCGUUCAAAAUUGGCCGGUCGAUCUUAACGGCAAUUUAUUAUUUUGAGCUCCGGUUUUGUCUUGUGGAGGCAUUUUAUUUUGUCCGAGAGUGCUUUCUCUGACCAGUUCGAGUUUAGUAUAUGAGGUGCCUAACCCUGGCCAAAGUCCACGCGGGUGGUCUCCUGAAGUUCCUCUUUGGGAACAUUGCGGGGUGGGAUUACGUCACCACUUAAAAAAACUGAACAGCUUAACUAUUGCAACCAAACCAUGACGAGACGUGCUACGAUUUGUUUGUAGUGCAUAUCCUC
rnacentral:sRNA from 2 species